CCUACGUGCGGCUGCAGUGAGGAAUAUUGGUCAAUGGACGAGAGUCUGAACCAGCCAAGUAGCGUGAAGGAUGACUGCCCUAUGGGUUGUAAACUUCUUUUAUAAAGGAAUAAAACGAGGCACGUGUGCCUUUUUGCAUGUACUUUAUGAAUAAGGAUCGGCUAACUCCGUGCCAGCAGCCGCGGUAAUACGGAGGAUCCGAGCGUUAUCCGGAUUUAUUGGGUUUAAAGGGAGCGUAGAUGGGUUGUUAAGUCAGUUGUGAAAGUUUGCGGCUCAACCGUAAAAUUGCAAUUGAUACUGGCAGUCUUGAGUACAGUUGAGGUAGGCGGAAUUCGUGGUGUAGCGGUGAAAUGCUUAGAUAUCACGAAGAACCCCGAUUGCGAAGGCAGCUUACUAAACUGUGACUGACAUUGAUGCUCGAAAGUGUGGGUAUCAUACAGGAUUAGAUACCCUUGUAGUC
rnacentral:rRNA from 1 species